rnacentral:rRNA from 1 species
AAGUCGAGCGAACGGAUGAGAAGCUUGCUUCUCUGAUGUUAGCGGCGGACGGGUGAGUAACACGUGGAUAACCUACCUAUAAGACUGGGAUAACUUCGGGAAACCGGAGCUAAUACCGGAUAAUAUUUUGAACCGCAUGGUUCAAAAGUGAAAGACGGUCUUGCUGUCACUUAUAGAUGGAUCCGCGCUGCAUUAGCUAGUUGGUAAGGUAACGGCUUACCAAGGCAACGAUGCAUAGCCGACCUGAGAGGGUGAUCGGCCACACUGGAACUGAGACACGGUCCAGACUCCUACGGGAGGCAGCAGUAGGGAAUCUUCCGCAAUGGGCGAAAGCCUGACGGAGCAACGCCGCGUGAGUGAUGAAGGUCUUCGGAUCGUAAAACUCUGUUAUUAGGGAAGAACAUAUGUGUAAGUAACUGUGCACAUCUUGACGGUACCUAAUCAGAAAGCCACGGCUAACUACGUGCCAGCAGCCGCGGUAAUACGUAGGUGGCAAGCGUUAUCCGGAAUUAUUGGGCGUAAAGCGCGCGUAGGCGGUUUUUUAAGUCUGAUGUGAAAGCCCACGGCUCAACCGUGGAGGGUCAUUGGAAACUGGAAAACUUGAGUGCAGAAGAGGAAAGUGGAAUUCCAUGUGUAGCGGUGAAAUGCGCAGAGAUAUGGAGGAACACCAGUGGCGAAGGCGACUUUCUGGUCUGUAACUGACGCUGAUGUGCGAAAGCGUGGGGAUCAACAGGAUUAGAUACCCUGGUAGUCCACGCCGUAAACGAUGAGUGCUAAGUGUUAGGGGGUUUCCGCCCCUUAGUGCUGCAGCUACGCAUUAAGCACUCC